UUUCUGUCAGUGUUCGUCACCGCAGACUUAAUAUUCAAAUUUGUUACCAUUACAUGGAAUUGUGUAUAUCUCAGUCCGCGCAGGGUACUUUUCGCUGGUUGGUAUAUUCAAGUUCAGAGUUGAAUGUGUACAAUGCCCAAAACACAACGCAGCAGUAACAGAGUUCCUCUGAUUAACACUCAUGUCUCAUGUGUGCUGUUCGUUACUAGGCAUCCAAGUGUCACUACGAUUGUACUCCCUCCGUCUCAAAAUAAGUGUCUUAACCUUAGUAUAACUUUGUACUAGGACUAGUACAAAGUUGAGACAGUUAUUUUGGGACGGAGGGAGUAGUAUCUUACAGGAGAAAAAAGGAAAGAAAAAUUGAUUGCCUAUGCAUUCCUGCCUAUUUGACUUAAUGAAUGAAUGAGCUAUACGUGACUGUACUCCCAGUCCUUGCAUACACCCACAUCUAUGGCCAUCGUCUUGUUCCCGCCCCCUUCUUUCCUGGGCGAGGACAGCACUCUGCAGCAAUUCCGCAUCGGGGACUGCAAGUUCAUG
rnacentral:lncRNA from 1 species